rnacentral:lncRNA from 1 species
AUGGACUCUCUGUGGGGCCCAGGAGCUGGGAGUCACCCCUUUGGGGUCCACAACAGCCGGCUGUCCCCAGACUUGUGUCCAGGGAAGAUAGUGUUGAGGGCCCUCAAGGAGAGCGGGGCAGGGAUGCCUGAGCAGGACAAGGACCCUAGAGUCCAAGAGAAUCCUGGUGAUCAGAGAAGGGUCCCCGAGGUCACCGGGGAUGCACCGUCUGCAUUUCGGCCCCUGCGGGACAAUGGAGGCCUCUCUCCCUUUGUGCCCGGGCCCGGGCCUCUGCAGACAGACCUCCAUGCCCAGAGGUCAGAAAUCAGAUAUGACCAGUCAUCCCAGACCUCCUGGACGAGCUCGUGCACCAACCGAAAUGCCAUCUCCAGCUCCUACAGCUCCACGGGAGGCUUGCCGGGGCUAAAGCGGAGGAGGGGGCCAGCCUCAUCCCACUGCCAGCUGACCCUCAGUUCCUCAAAGACAGUGAGUGAGGACAGGCCUCAGGCUGUCUCUUCGGGUCACACCCAGUGUGAAAAGGUGGCAGAGAAAGCACCAGGGCAGACACUCGCCCUCAGGAAUGACUCCUCCAGAUCCGAGGCCUCUAGGCCCAGUACACGCAAGUUUCCCCUGCUGCCACACAGGCGAGGGGAGCCUUUGAUGCUGCCACCUCCCGUAGAGCUGGGGUACCGGGUCACUGCUGAAGACCUGGACUGGGAGAAGGAGGCGGCAUUCCAGUGCAUCAAGAGUGCACUGCAGGUUGAGGACAAGGCCAUCUCAGACUGCAGACCCUCACGGCCUUCCCACACUUUGUCCUCACUUGCAACAGGGGCUUCUGGUCUGCCUGCCGUUUCUAAAGCACCCAGUAUGGAUGCACAGCAGGAGAGACACAAGUCCCAAGACUGCCUGGGCCUAGUGGCCCCCCUAGCAUCUGCUACAGAGGUCCCCUCUACAGCUCCCAUGUCUGGGGAGAAGCACAGACCACCAGGCCCCCUGUUCUCCUCCUCAGAUCCCCUUCCUGCCACCUCUUCCCACUCCCAGGACUCAGCCCAGGUCACCUCGCUGAUUCCUGCCCCCUUCCCAGCUGCAAGCAUGGAUGCGGGCAUGAGAAGAACAAGGCCUGGCACUUCUGCUCCUGCAGCUGCCGCAGCAGCCCCUCCCCCCUCCACAUUGAACCGCACAUUGGGGUCACUAUUGGAGUGGAUGGAGGCCCUUCACAUUUCUGGGCCUCAGCCACAGCUGCAGCAGGUGCCCAGAGGUCAGAACCAGAGAUCCCAGACCUCCCGGACCAGCUCGUGCCCCAAACGA